GAUGAAGAACGCAGCGAAAUGCGAUAAGUAAUGUGAAUUGCAGAAUUCCGUGAAUCAUCGAAUCUUUGAACGCACAUUGCGCCCCCUGGCAUUCCGGGGGGCAUGCCUGUCCGAGCGUCAUUUCUGCCCUCAAGCACGGCUUGUGUGUUGGGUGCGGUCCCCCCGGGGACCUGCCCGAAAGGCAGCGGCGACGUCCGUCUGGUCCUCGAGCGUAUGGGGCUCUGUCACUCGCUCGGGAAGGACCUGCGGGGGUUGGUCACCACUAUAUUUUACCACGGUUGACCUCGGAUCAGGUAGGAGUUACCCGCUGAACUUAAGCAUAUCAAUAAGCGGAGGA
rnacentral:misc_RNA from 1 species